rnacentral:snoRNA from 1 species
CCCCUCUCAGGGUAGCACCUGGAAAAUUUCCAGUACUCUACCAGUCUCGAUUAGGGGAGGGAGAGUUAAGCAGAGACAUAGCCAUUCCAUUCCUAGCUCGGGCAGUGGCUAGUGAGUGGAAAGCAAUCUGCUACAAGU